rnacentral:RNase_P_RNA from 1 species
CACCUGUUCAUGAAAAUGAACGGGUGAGGAAAGUCCGGGCUUCGCAGGGCAGGAUGCCGGAUAACGUCCGGUGGAGGUGACUCCCAGGCUAGUGCAACAGAAAUAUACCGCCACGGCCUCCCCCGUGGUAAGGGUGGAAUGGCGGGGUAAGAGCCCACCGCCUUACUGGUAACAGGAAGGGCACAUGUAAACCCCAUCCGAAGCAAGACCAAACAGAGAGCGAUACGGCGGCCCGUCGUGCUCUCGGGUAGGUCGCUAGAGCCUGCUGGCAACAGCAGGUCCAGAUAGAUGAUCACUCAACGACAGAACCCGGCUUAUCGUACUGCUCAUUUU